UGGGGAAUCUUGCACAAUGGGGGAAACCCUGAUGCAGCGACGCCGCGUGAGCGAUGAAGCCCUUCGGGGUGUAAAGCUCUUUCGUCAGGGAAGAUUAUGACGGUACCUGGAGAAGCAGCUGCGGCUAACUACGUGCCAGCAGCCGCGGUAAUACGUAGGCAGCAAGCGUUGUUCGGAGUUACUGGGCGUAAAGGGUGUGUAGGCGGCCUUUUAAGUUUGGUGUGAAAUCUCCCGGCUUAACUGGGAGGGUGCGCCGAAUACUGAAGGGCUAGAGUGCGGGAGAGGAGAGUGGAAUUCCUGGUGUAGCGGUGAAAUGCGUAGAUAUCAGGAGGAACACCGGUGGUGUAGACGGCUCUCUGGACCGUAACUGACGCUGAGACACGAAAGCGUGGGUAGCAAACAGGAUUAGAUACCCUGGUAGUCCACGCCCUAAACGAUGCAUAUUUGGUGUGGGUCAUUCAGUUGAUCCGUGCCGGAGCUAACGCGUUAAAUAUGCCGCCUGGGGAGUACAGUCGCAAGGCUG
rnacentral:rRNA from 1 species